rnacentral:sRNA from 1 species
ACAAAUCAACCAAGACCCAGAGAAAGGAUGUAUAUACUCAGCGUCAUGUAGUCAGGGGGUGGAAGCACUCGGUGUAGGACCUUGUGUACCUGUCAUGAAGUCUUGGUAGAUGCGAGGAGCAUAAUUAGGACAUUAGCUGGAUGUUUGACUUUGUGAUGUACUGAUCUGUACUGGAAGAAUUGAGGAACACUCACCAGGAGUCAAAUGAAGUUAAUUCAUUUCUAAUGAUUUUUGGAGUUAUUUUUCUCAAAGGAAGUGUUUGACUUUGCCAGUGAAGAAAAAGAAGAUAAAACGAGAGGUUAAGAUUCUGGAGAACCUUCGUGGUGGAACAAAUAUCAUUAAGCUGAUUGACACUGUAAAGGACCCCGUGUCAAAGACACCAGCUUUGGUAUUUGAAUAUAUCAAUAAUACAGAUUUUAAGCAACUCUACCAGAUCCUGACAGACUUUGAUAUCCGGUUUUACAUGUAUGAACUACUUAAAGCUCUGGAUUACUGCCACAGCAAGGGAAUCAUGCACAGGGAUGUGAAACCUCACAAUGUCAUGAUAGAUCACCAACAGAAAAAGCUGCGACUGAUAGAUUGGGGUCUGGCAGAAUUCUAUCAUCCUGCUCAGGAGUACAAUGUUCGUGUAGCCUCAAGGUACUUCAAGGGACCAGAGCUCCUCGUGGACUAUCAGAUGUAUGAUUAUAGCUUGGACAUGUGGAGUUUGGGCUGUAUGUUAGCAAGCAUGAUCUUUCGAAGGGAACCAUUCUUCCAUGGACAGGACAACUAUGACCAGCUUGUUCGCAUUGCCAAGGUUCUGGGUACAGAAGAACUGUAUGGGUAUCUGAAGAAGUAUCACAUAGACCUAGAUCCACACUUCAACGAUAUCCUGGGACAACAUUCACGGAAACGCUGGGAAAACUUUAUCCAUAGUGAGAACAGACACCUUGUCAGCCCUGAGGCCCUAGAUCUUCUGGACAAACUUCUGCGAUACGACCAUCAACAGAGACUGACUGCCAAAGAGGCCAUGGAGCACCCAUACUUCUACCCUGUGGUGAAGGAGCAGUCCCAGCCUUGUGCAGACAAUGCUGUGCUUUCCAGUGGUCUCACGGCAGCACGAUGAAGACUGGAAAGCGACGGGUCUGUUGCGGUUCUCCCACUUUUCCAUAAGCAGAACAAGAACCAAAUCAAACGUCUUAACGCGUAUAGAGAGAUCACGUUCCGUGAGCAGACACAAAACGGUGGCAGGUUUGGCGAGCACGAACUAGACCAAGCGAAGGGCAGCCCACCACCGUAUAUCAAACCUCACUUCCGAAUGUAAAAGGCUCACUUGCCUUUGGCUUCCUGUUGACUUCUUCCCGACCCAGAAAGCAUGGGGAAUGUGAAGGGUAUGCAGAAUGUUGUUGGUUACUGUUGCUCCCCGAGCCCCUCAACUCGUCCCGUGGCCGCCUGUUUUUCCAGCAAACCACGCUAACUAGCUGACCACAGACUCCACAGUGGGGGGACGGGCGCAGUAUGUGGCAUGGCGGCAGUUACAUAUUAUUAUUUUAAAAGUAUAUAUUAUUGAAUAAAAGGUUUUAAAAGAAA